CUUCGAUCUCUAAAAAUUACAAAUGUUAAUAACUGCUUAAAGAUACAACAAUAUGAUAAUGACUGUCACCCAAAGUAAUUUGCAUACUUAAUUUUUCAAUUUCAAAGCGACCGAGUUCUCUUAAGAAACGAUGCUCUUCAUCAAUUGUGUAUCCCCAUAAAACAACAACGCCAUAAGUAAAGCAAAACACUUCCCGAAACAAGGGUUGAUUCCUGUCCAACCCGGAUUCUUCAAAAAUACUUUGUAGACUUUCUUGAGAAGAUUCUCGAUUUAACGUUCCACGGGAGGACUCCAAUGUGUCAGGAAGUAAGUCUGUCGUCUCUUCAUUAUUGUAGCUAUACGGACUAUAAAUACUGUUAUAAUGUUAGAUAAACCUCUUCAAGUAAAUAUCAAUAAGGAUCAAUAGAAUGAGAAAAAUGCAAAAAUAUUAACUAACCAUUCGUCAAAUUGUUUAGGUCUUGUUUUAUGACUACUUCUUCGAGAUUGAAAAAACUUAAACAGCAAGUCGACUCUAAAUGUAUCGCAUGUACAAUAGGCAGUUACUCUUGGUAAGAAUUCUCGAUGCCGUUUUCCAAGAUGCUCUGCGUCUCGUUUUGCCGUUGACCCUUCUAUUUGAGGAAUUUGGGAGUACACUUCGCGCCCCGUAUCCUGCCUUCUAAAAUCAUCAAAUUCUUCUGUAGAAGGAAGAAGCCGAAGCUUCGCUGCAGUUUUUGUGGAUCUCUGAGGCCCAAUUCUAUUACUCAUCCUCAGAAUGCAAAACUGGAGUUGGUAAUUGACACAAGCUCAACUUCAGGUGGUAGACAGUGAGAGACCUCUCUUGUAAAGGAAUGAACGAUUAAUCGGAAACUUAAAAAUAUGCUCAUAAGGGCGUUGUCAAAAGAAAACUACUGAAAAUAUGCUACGCACAAUAACCGCAAGUUGACGAUUUGUUUGCUAUUCUGUGAUUGACAUUUCCGUAUAUAUUUCGCACCAUACAAGUGACAAAUCAAAGAAAUAGUAAAUAAAUAAGUUAAAAGUAAAUACAAAUAGAAGAAGGGGCCCCUUGUCUAAACUCGUCC